UACAUAACACGCUGAAUUCACCAGAUCUCGUCCGAUCAUCGCGGUUAAGGAGCGUCGGGUGCGGUCACUACUUGGAUGGGUGACAGCCUGGGAGCACCUCGUG